CCUCCCCUCAAAGUUGCGGCGGAGGGUGAGUAAACGUGGGUAACCUGCCUGUAAGACUGGGAUAACUCCGGGACCCGGAGCUAAUACCGGAUAGUUCCUUGAACCGCAUGGUUCAAGGAUGAAAGACGGUUUCGGCUGUCACUUACAGAUGGACCCGCGGCGCAUUAGCUAGUUGGUGGGGUAAUGGCUCACCAAGGCGACGAUGCGUAGCCGACCUGAGAGGGUGAUCGGCCACACUGGGACUGAGACACGGCCCAGACUCCUACGGGAGGCAGCAGUAGGGAAUCUUCCGCAAUGGACGAAAGUCUGACGGAGCAACGCCGCGUGAGUGAUGAAGGUUUUCGGAUCGUAAAGCUCUGUUGUUAGGGAAGAACAAGUGCGAGAGUAACUGCUCGCACCUUGACGGUACCUAACCAGAAAGCCACGGCUAACUACGUGCCAGCAGCCGCGGUAAUACGUAGGUGGCAAGCGUUGUCCGGAAUUAUUGGGCGUAAAGGGCUCGCAGGCGGUUUCUUAAGUCUGAUGUGAAAGCCCCCGGCUCAACCGGGGAGGGUCAUUG
rnacentral:rRNA from 1 species